rnacentral:rRNA from 1 species
UACGUAGGGGGCAAGCGUUAUCCGGAUUUACUGGGUGUAAAGGGAGCGUAGACGGCACUGCAAGUCUGGAGUGAAAGCCCGGGGCUCAACCCCGGGACUGCUUUGGAAGCUGUGGUGCUAGAGUGCAGGAGAGGUAAGUGGAAUUCCUAGUGUAGCGGUGAAAUGCGUAGAUAUUAGGAGGAACACCAGUGGCGAAGGCGGCUUACUGGACUGUAACUGACGUUGAGGCUCGAAAGUGUGGGGAGCAAACAGG